rnacentral:lncRNA from 1 species
GAUUGCUUAAUGGUUAAGUAUGACACAUGGACCAAUGGAAUGAUGACAUGUGUCAAAAUCUCAUCCAUUCAUUAUUUUGGCUUAAAAAUCAGCAUAAAAUCAGUCCAUUUCUCAUUCAUAUGUCUGGCCAAAGAAGAACAAAGGAAGAAAAGAAAGAACAAGAACCCUAGGGUGAAAAUUCUAGAGAAAAAUUGAUGGAUUUCAAGUAAUCAAGCAAUCAAAGGUAAAAUUUCUUGAUUUUGACUUAUGAUCUACCUUUUUCAUGCAUUAUUUUGCAUUUUCCAUGGUUGAAUCACAAGAUAUCAUGGCUAGCCGAAUGGGUAUGGAAAGAGAAUGAUGUUAAAUUGAUUUGAUUUCAAGUUAUGUUAGUGUUUUUAGUUAUUUUAUCAUGUCUAGAAGCAAAACAACAAGAAAAUAAUUCAUUUUCCCCAUCACCCAUCAAUGGCCGAACCUACCUUGUAUUGAGUGAGGAUGAAUUUGAUUUUUUAUUUUAAGAGAAUUGGUUAGAAAAUGAUGAAUUAUGGUGUGAAAAAUUAGUAGGAAAAAUCACGGUGUUAAUGUACCAUUAUUGAUCGAAAAUUUUAAGAAGAAAAGUGAAGAUGGUUUUGCCAAAUUUUAGGUUAUUUGACUUGUGUUUGGUGAAUUAAGGUAUUGGAAAAUAAAUGGAGCAAUUUGGAGCUAAAUUGGACGCGUUGGCCAAUUAAUCGGGUGAUAAGACGAAUUAGGUCAAUAUCAGGUUUAGAUGGUUACUCGUGCAUUUUGCAUUCCAUAUCAUACAUUAGUAGUCUAAAUUAGUUUAAUUUCGAUUUAGUACCAAUGUAGUAAGUUUCUCGAUUUUGUACUAUGUCAAGGUGGUGAGUCCUCUGAUAAAGGUAAGAAAAUUGCAUCCGAGGACCAGUAGUCAGAGUACUUCAAAAAUUCACACUCUAGACAUUGUGAGUAACCUUACUAUCAUCUUAAUUAUCUAAAGUGAUUUUUAUCCGAUUUUGUGAAUUUCAUGAAAAAUGAAUUAAAUGAUUAAUUUUUCAGUUUUAUAAACAAAAUGUGAUUUAAUGAAAAUAAUUUUAUAAAAUUGUCUUGAAAUUGAAUGAUGGUUUUGGAAAAUAGAGUAAUUGGAGAUCAAUUGCUGUGUUGUAAAUUAUGGUUUGAAUUGAAUGGCUUAUGAUAAUGUGGACAUGAGUGGCUGGAUUUGGUAAAUGUGCUGAAAAUGUAUGAACUGUUGUUUUGCCUUGACAUGCUGUGUUGUAAAAUAAUUGCCACGUCAUGCUGUUGGAAUUUUAUUGAUUUGGUGGAUAAUUAUUAGCUUACUGCAGUGGACGGGUUUCUGUGGACCAACCUAUUAGAGGGGCACGGUAAACCCCAUUAUAUCUUACCUCAGUAUGAGAGGCACGGAUGGAUAACUCCUGAGGUUAACACUUUAGAGUUCACUUCACGCUAAACCACCGCGUGAGGGUGAACUCAGCCAACGCCAAGGAACGACUAUGUUUUCAAAAUAAAAACAUAAUUUAUGCGUACAUGACUUUUUAACAGCCUUGGCGGACUCGGUUGGGAUAGCCCUCGAUCAAGGCAUCCAUGAUAACUGGGUAUGAGAAUGAUUUUGACACAAGCCAAAGCUUUUAAGAAAUUCAUAAGCCAUGUUGAUUACUCGAUUUAUAUGAAUUGAUUUUAUUUGGUUGAAACAAGUUGAAAGGUGAUGAAUUUCAAUAUGUUAAACUGUUUUAUCUGUCUUCAUUUACUCAGCUUUACAUAUUUUAGAUAGUAUUUGUUUACUCACUGGAAUUUUAUAAUCUCACCACCCUCCUUUCCACCCAUUUCAAACUCAGUAUAGGCUGUAGAUAGCUGAUAUCGUCGAAGGCCACAGUUGGCUUUACUUCCUCAAAAACUGUAAGUUUGCAACCUUCGUUCAUUUUUGUCAUUUGGGGGUCCACAUGUCAUUGUAAAUUAAAUUGCAUACUUCAGUUAUCUGUACUACUGUAUGUAGAAAUUUAUUUUGCUUUUACACUGUAAAUAAAAAUUAUUUACGCAGUGUUUUAAAAAUAUUGUUUUAUGAGAAAAUUGAGUAUUUUAUUCAAUAUUUUUAUUUUAUUCUAAUAGUCAUAAUUUCACUUUAAACGAAUGUUUUAGAUAUCCAAAUUUAUUUUUGAUUAUGAAAUAUGUGUUUUGCACCGUAUACUACAUUAUUAGUUAGUUUCGAAAUUUUUAGAGAAAAAUGACUAAAAUACCCCUGUGAGACAAAAAUUAUUUUUUAUUGUUUUAAGUUGGAAAUAGUUUAAAAUCUUUUAAAACGUGAUAUUUGGCAACGGUUACUCACAGAGAAAAUGAGAAACUGAUAUUAAAUCCUUGCGGGGUUCCGGUUGACAUUUCGAGUAAUGAGUGUUGAUCGAGACAUCGAGGGGGUUGUCACGGGCUCGAGGGGAGUUUCGGGUCGUAACAAUCAUCAUCCACCAACUCAAAUAAAUAUUUAUCUAAUUUCAAUUUAUGCUAUUCAAAGCCACUGUUUAACCGAUGCCUUUUAAAAGCAUCUAAUCUUUUCUUAGUAGUUAUUGGGUCCUUACCACUCGAAAUAAUAGCACUACCAUGCCCACCUUCACCACCGGUGACUUGUCUCAUUGACAUUUGAGACUGUUGACCACUUUCACAAACAAGAAAUUAAGGUUGGGAUUGCAACAUAUACUUAUAACAUUAAAACAACUCAUCCAUUGUUUUUCUCAAUAAAGAAAACAUCAACAGAGCUUGCUCAGGAAAAUACAUAUCUUGCAAAGUAAAUUCAACCUAAGCAAGCUUUUUCCUUAGAUCAAAAAUUGAGGCGAUGUACAACACUAAAUUCAUUUUUUCCACAUUCUCUCAAUACUUGUCAAAUGUAGUUUUCAUACUCAUUGUUAUAGACUUCAAAUCUACAUCAUUACUUUGUUGCCAUUCAAUCAAAGUGUCACACACAUCAGAAAUAGAAUUAAGAAAAGAAUUGGCAAUGACAUAAAAUGUACCUAAAACAUUCACAGUCAUAUCAUAAAACUCUUUCAAAAAAAAAAAAAUCCUCAUAACAGUUGCUUAUUCAUUUUCAUCAGGCACCCCAUCUCUAUUCCUCGCUAAUUCACUUAUGUAACUUCUAUCACAAUACUCAAAUGAUGCAAAAGCCCUCUCAAAUUUCACAGUUGUAUCGAGUAUAAAAAAAGUAAAAUUCCAUUUGGUGCACACAUCUAAACACAAUAAACACUUACUAUGAACUCCUGCACUAGUAGCACACUCCUUAAAUUUAGCUAAUCUAGAAGGAGAUUGUUUAAUAUAUUUCACUGCUGCUCUAACACGAGCAAUUGAGUCAUUGAUAUCUUUUAACCCAUCAGUCACAGUAUGAUUAACAAUAUGUGCAACGCAUUUAAUAUGAAAAAAUUUACCUCAUAAAAUACUAGUUUUGGCAACAUAUAAAUUUUUUCUUCAAAUGUCUUAUUGCAACAUCAUUGGAACUAGUAUUAUCAAUAUUAAUAGAAAAAAUCUUUUGAAUCCCCUAAUCAGCCAAACAUCUAUCAAUUGCCUUCCUAAUAGUCUGACCUUUGAGACUAGUAAUGGGACAAAAGUUCAAAAUCAUUUUCUGCAACGUUUAAUCUUUAUCAACAAAAUGAGCAGUUAGAUAUAAAUAAUUAAUUCUUCAUACCAAAGUCCAUGUGUUUGUGGUGAGACAUAUUCUACUAGAAUAUGAUCUCAAAAAUUUUCUCAUAUGAGUUUUUUCAUCAACAUAAACCUUAUAAUAAUCCCUAGCAAUAGCCCAUCGUGACAGUAUAUGAAAUCUAAGAUAUGCUUCUUUCAUAUGUUUCCUAUACUCUUUCGCUUCCACAAAUCUACAAGGCAACUCAUCUAUAAUAAUCAUCUUAGCUAAACUCCUUCUAAAUGCAUCAUGAUCAAAUUUCCAACCAUCAAAAGACACAUCUCCUCUUGAUGAAAAAACUAAUUCCAUUUGAUUACUCUCCUCACUAGCACAGAGUAUAUUCAACUUCAGAUAAAUCUUAAUAUGAUUAUUUAAAGAAGAUGUUUUAUUUUUUUGGUAUCAGCAUAUAAGACCUUAUCAUAAUGACUACAACUAGCCUUAUGAUUACCUUUGUCAUCAACAAAUUUUGCGAAGUGAUCCCACACAAGCAAUGAUGUCUUUGAUGGUUCCUUGUGCUUUUAUGGUUUAGAGCUUACUGCUUCACUUCUUGCGUUGCCUUCAAUAACACUUACAUCAACUUGAGGUGUAGAUGUUGAGUCAUUAGUUGCUAAAUUUAUAUUCUCCUCAAUUUCAUUUGACAUCUGCAAAAAAAAAAAAAAUCAUCAUAUAAGUAAAUAUGGUAUGCCAAAGUGAAAAAGAAUAAUAAUACCAUGCAUAACCAAAAAAAAAAACAAGCAAAAAAAAUUGAAAAAAUGUAUAUUUCUUUGUUAAUAUUAAUAUUGUAAGUAUUAAUUAUGAAGAUUAAAAAUCUCUUUCUAAGUUCUAACCCAAACCAUCUCAUUUUCUAAUUUGUCAUACUUUAAUGGAGCGUAAUAUAAAUGAUUUAAAUCCUUAAACAAUUUCUAAAUUAAUUUUGAUUUAUGAAUAUGGAAAACAGAAAAUUAAAGUAUUGGUUGAUAUACCUUUUUUGUUUUUGGAUUAAUAUUUUCAAUUUGUUCUUUGAUUGAUGUGCCCCUUAUAUGACUCAUAUCUCUUUUCCAUUAUGAGAGGUUGAACAUGUGAUUUUUGGAUUAAAUUAAUUAGCAAAAAAAUUGACUCUUAUACACAUUUUAAUUUUUGGACAAAUAGACUUAACUUAAUAAGGGUGUGACAUGAAUUUAUUUGUCAAAACCUAAACAUUUCUAUGAUUUAUUGAUUAAGUUUUAUAAGAACUUGCAAAUAAAACAAAUUUUCUUGGAGAAAAAAAGUAUCAAUGCAAGCAUCAAUUUGGCCAAUGCUAGAAUGUUAUGAAUUAAAUUUGGUCAAUGAUAAUAUGUUAUGAAUUAUGUAGAGACUUAGACAUGAAUAAAAGUUUUUAUUAUUUAUGGUCUAAUUAAUAAAAAAAAGAAUAAUAGUUAGUUAAAGAGUUUAAAAAGAAAUAAUAAUAUAAAAUCCAAAUUAAUUUCUAAAUCCUAGCUUUAUAUUUCUUUAUAUAAAGAAAAAAAAUGUAUAUUUCUUUAUCUAAAAAUCAAGUUCAAUUUUCUCUAAUAUUCAUAUUGUAAGUACUAAUUUAAAAAAUAUUUAAUAAAGAAAAUAAACAACUUUUUUUUAAAUUAAAAAAACGAAACAUUUGGUGCACAAAUUCAUUCAAUGUACACCUAAACAUUCUGCUCUUAAAUGUAAACCCAUACAUGAAACCCACUUGUAGACCAAACAUGAGACAACAUAAUCAACAUAAGUUACAUAACCAAACAAGUUGGAUUGCAAAAGCACAUCUGGGAUAGGGAUCAAGGCUAAAAAGACCAGCUUUCAUUGUUCACACUUUACAUAGCAAAAAAAAAAAAAAUCUCAACAAAAGCCUCACAAAUCACAAAACCCAUUAAAAUACAAAACAAUCUGAAUUUCAUUGUUCAUAUAGCAAGCACAAUCUGUCAACUACUCAAGUUCCUCAACAUUAAAUAUACCUUGAAGAUAAAUUUGUUACAAAGGGAAGAUGACAGCAAGAGACAACUGGUGACUGGCGAGGAGGAGGACGACGACAGGAGAGUGGAGAUGGCAGCAAGGGGUUGGCAACGACAAUUGAUUAGGACCAAGGAAGAAAGUUUUUAGGGUUUCAAAGGGAAAAAAAAGGGUUGAUUUGAUGAGAGAAUGCAAAAAUCGGGGAAGGAAAAAAAGAAAAAAAGGGAUUAAAAAGAUAAAAAUGGAAUUUCACUCAUCCCCUUCAGUUGUUCUGCUAGCUCGGGUGGGGAAGAUGUGUGGCCGAAAAUUGAAUCGUGCAACCUUCUAAACUGAUAGUUAAAAUUGACCCCUUAAAUCGACACUAAAUAACCGAGCUGAUUGUGGCCGCUGACGUCGAUUCUGAUCGGUUGUACGGUUGCAACUGACUUGUGCUCGCUUUAACUGUACCAUUGACUAAUGAAAGUUGGUCAACGAUUAGAGAAAAUGACUUAUUCGAUCUAAAAUAAGAAUUCAAAGGCUUAUUUAAACGUAAUAAAAGGAAAUGGGUUAAAUUGAUUUUUUUGGUCUAAUUUGGAGAUUUAUUUACACAUUUAACUUUUUCUUUUCCUUGUUUUUGAACUAAGCAUUUAGAAACCUUUUGAAUUUUGAUAUUCAACAUUUGCCCAAUCCAAAUACUCUAUCCUUAUUUCUUAUCCCACUUUGUGCUCUGACUCUCAUAAAAUAUCAUGUGUUUAAUUUUUUAUUACUAAUUAAUGCAUAUUUGAUUUUAAAUUCUUUUCUUAUUUCUCUCUCAUAUUUCCUUUUGUGAGAAAUAAGGAAAAAAAUUAAACCAGUAAUCCUUUUGUGAUAGAGAAAAGGAAAUAUGAGAGAUAAACAUGGAAAGAAUUAAAAUUAAAUAUAUAUUAAUUAAUAAUUAAAAGGUAAGUGUAUGGUACUUUGUGAGAGUUGGGGAGCAAAUUGGGAUAGGAAAAAGGGCAGGGGAUUUAGAUUCACUUUUACUUAAAAAAAAUCAUGAUUAAAGCUUUUGAUUUAAAAUAUAUAUAUUUUCAAUCAUAAGAAUAAAUUCCUAAUUAUUUUUAAAAAUCCAAUCUAUUUGUUUUCAACCCUAAUCGAAAUCUCUUAUCAAAAUGGUAACAGCAAAUUCAAAUCUAUACAAUUUAUAAAUAAAUGAAAGUUAAAUAAAAAUAUAAAAAAAUAUAAAUAGAAUAAGGAGAAAAAUGUGGAAUAGAACUAUGCAUUUUUGUUUUUUAUUAUUUUGAACUUCUUUUGUGUACAUUUUCUUUUUCAUUAAAAAAGGUAAAUAUUUUUCAUCAACCCGUUAGCAAUGGUGGGCCAAUUUUCUAGUUUUAAUCUGGCUUUAAAUUAAUCAAUCUUUUUUUUUAAUGAAAUAGCAUUGUUAUGGUGUUACAUGUAUUUUACAUGAAUUCACUAAUUAAAUUUUUAUCUAUUACUAUUAUCAUUGUAUUAAUGUCCACACAUACACAGGUUUGAUAUUAAUUUUCAUACAUACACAAACAUGUUAUUAAUUUCCAAACAUGCACAAAUAUGUUAAUAAUUUCCAGACACGAGUAUGUUAUUCACACAUUCACCAGUUUGGUAUUAGUUUUCUCAUAUUCAAAGUUUUGAUAUUAAUUUCCACAUACAGGUUUUGAUAUUAAUUUACAUUCAUACAAAAGGUUAGGUAAUAGUUUCUAAAAGUACACCAAUAUGUUACCAAUUUUCACACAUACAAAGGCAUGAUAUUAAUUUCAAAACAUACAUAAUUUUGAUAUUAGUUUCCACAAAUACAUUGAUAUGAUAUUAAUUUCCAUGUAUACAUAGGUUUGAUAUUAGUUUCCAUACAUACUAGGUUUGAUAUUAGUUUCCAAAAAUACACCAAUAUGAUAUUAAUUUGUACACAUACACAGGUAUGAUAUUAAUUUCCAAACAUGCACAAGUUUCAUAUUAAUUUCCACAAAUAUACUGCUAUGAUAUUAAUUUCCACAUAUACACUGGUUUGAUAUUUAUUACCAUACAUAGGUUUGAUAUUAAGUUCAAGACACAUACAUGUAUGAUAUUAAUUUCCACACAUACACAAGCUUGAUAUAAAUUUCCAUACCUACACAAGUUUGAUAUUAAGUUUUAAAGACAAACACAGGUAUGACAUUAGUUUCCACACAUAAACAGGUUUGAUAUUAAUUUUCAUAUACACAGGUUAGAUAUUAAUUUCGAGACAUACACAAGUAUGAUAUUAAUUUCCACACAUACAUAAGUUUGAUAUUAACUAACUUCCAUACAUGCACAAGUUUGAUAUUAAUUUCAAGACAUAAGUAUGAUAUUAUUUCUACACAUACACAGGUUUGAUAUUAAUUUUCACACAUACGCAGAUAUGAUAUUGAUUUUAAAAAAUACACCGAUAUUAAUUUUGUAUUAAAAGAGUUUUAGUAUGGAAAUGGCAGAAAUUUGCCAUCCAGAAUGGGAUCUAUCCCUUUUGUGUAUCUUGGUGUUCCAUCGAGGGUGAACUCUAGAAGCCCUCGAACAUGGAAAUCAAUGGUAAGCAAAUUUAAAAACGAGCUCGUUUGAUGACAAAAGAAAUAUUUGUCUUUUGGAGGAAGGAUUAUUUUUAUAAAUUUUGUUUUGAACUCAUUGCCUGUGUACAACUUAUCAGUUUUUCAAGCACCUAAAGGAGUGAUUAAGAAACCUGGAAGAUACUUCUCUUAGAGAGGUGAUGACAAUAGGAGGAAGAUUGCAAAGGUGAUAUGGGCAGUAGUAUGUGAGCCGAAGAUAUUGGGAGGGUUGGGACUUUAUAAUUUUUAUCAUAAGAUUUCAAUCAUGUUAGGAAAGUGAUAGUGGCGUUAUGGGGUUGAAAAGGGCUCUGUGGUGAAGGCUCAUCUGUGGUAAAUAUGAUGCAGGAAAAUUGCACUGGCUGCCUUGAAUCAGCUUAAGGAGAGAAUGUCAAAUGUUUCGAGAAAUAUAGUGAAUGUACCAAAAUUUGAUGGAGUGGAGAAAUUGGUGGGUAGAAACGAGUCGGAUGGUGGGGAAUGGAAGAGAUGUUUUCUUCUGGUUAAACAAUUGGACUACAGCUUGCGAUAACCUUGCGAAAUUAGGCGUGGACAGGCCACAUGAACUGCUCGAACUUUUCCCUUAAAUGUUUGAGUGACCUUUCUUGUACGCUGGUUGAAUUUUCUGCUGCUGGUUUAUUAAUGGAAAGCUGUUGCAGGUUCAUUACAGGGAGGACUGUUUGCUGUGGCAGACUACUCAUUAUGGAACGGUCUGCAAGUAAAAGGAACUUACAGAAUGGGUUGUUCCUUUUCUCGCACGCCCUUGUAUGUUAUUUGUCAUUUUGGGGUAUAGUGGAUUCUCUUACCGAUUUUGUUAAUGGUUGUUUACAUAGAUAGAUUAUAGUCUGAUCAGCUGGCUAUGUUUUUGUAAGCCAAGCUCAUUACAACCUGGCCUGACAUCUCCUCAUCAGUCAGGUCGCUCUCUUUUGUGUACAGGGGGUCUUCCCUUUCUUUUGCAAUGAAAGGAUAUGAUACAAUCUUCAAAAAAAAAAAAAAAAAAUUGGACUACAGCCAAUCCCUUUAGUUCAACGUUUCCAAGACUAUUUAUAGCGGUUAACAAGGAGGUUAGAGUAGCAGAGGCAUGGAACAAUGAGGACAAAGGAAUCUGCAUUUUCAAAGAUAGAAUUUUGAGUGGGAAUUGAGUUCAUUGCAUGAAGUUUUGUAGAGUCUCUGAAAGAUGUAUACCUUGACAGGGAGAAGGACGAUAAGCUAAGAUGGGAACUUGAUCACAACGCUCCUUCUCUAUUAGAGACUUAUAGUCGCUCUAGAUCAUCAUAUCAUACCUGAACGUGGAAAAGGUAUGAUUCUCCUCAAUUUGGAAAUACAUUAUUCUUCCUAAGAUUGAGGGUUUCUUGUGGUUAGUUAUUUUGCAUCGCAUUCCUACUAAAAGUUAUUUUGAAAUCCAGAGGAGUCUUGUUUGAGAAUAAUCAAUGUUUAUUUAUAUGGGGUUGUUUAAUGGAGGAGGAUUGUGAUCAUAUUCUUAUCUCAUGUGAUUAUUCAUGAAUUGUCUAGUUUUACAUGUUUAAAUGGUGGAGACUACUAUGGGUGACUCCAAUGCCUGUGGAAAUGGUCCUUAAGUCUUGUGAAGAUGUUAUGAUGCUUGAUGUCUAGAAAAGAGGUGGUUAACAGUGUGUGGUGCCUACAUUUUGAUCAUUGUGGAUUGCAAGCAAUGAUGUUGUGUUUAAUGGUAAAAAAUGAGAUGGGGGAGAUUUUUUUUUUAAUGAUAAAGAUGAGAUCAACAUUAUGGGUUAAAGCAAUUGAAGGCAAUAGUUGCAUUGAUGAAGUCGGGUGAUGGUCUGAGCUUAGGAAUUUCCAAUAUACUUCUUUUGAAGUUAGAAAAGAAUUUAUUGAAUUUCUCCCAAAGAAAAUGAACUGAAAUUUAAUGUUAGAAGGUUUUGUUAGGGUUAAAUUAGACCUGGCAGGUUGUGGAGGGGUGCUAAGAGACUCAUGUGGUUCUGUGCUUGUAAUUUUCUUUAUUUUUUUGGGUAUAAUGGAUUGUAAUUUGCAAAAUUAAUGACCAUUAAAAAUGUUUUUAAAGUUUUUGUCUUAUCGGCAUGGAUUGGUAAGAAAUCUCUCAUUGUUGAAUCUAACUCUAAAGUGAUU